UACAGAGGGGGCUAGCGUUAUUCGGAAUUAUUGGGCGUAAAGGGCGCGUAGGCGGCUUUGCGUGUCUUCCGUGAAAUCCCUCGGCUCAACCGAGGACGUGCGGAAGAAACUGCAAGGCUCGAGUCCGGAAGAGGGGGGCGGAAUUCCCAGUGUAGCGGUGGAAAUGCGGUAGAUAUUGGGAGGAACACCAGUGGCGAAGGCGGUCCCCUGGGCCGGAACUGACGCUGACGGCGCGAAAGCGUGGGUAGCAAACGGGUAGUAA
rnacentral:rRNA from 1 species